GUCUACAGCCAUACGACCCUGAACACACUUGAUCUCAUCUGAUCUCAGAAGUUAAGCAGGGUCAGGCC
rnacentral:rRNA from 1 species